AUUCACACCUAUUUCAUUUGGUCUGUUGAAAAUGGACCACAGUUUGUUUCCCUGGAAACUCUGGACUUUUUUGGAUGUUAAUAAAAACAU